rnacentral:rRNA from 1 species
GUUAAGCGACUAAGCGUACACGGUGGAUGCCCUGGCAGUCAGAGGCGAUGAAGGGCGUGCUAAUCUGCGAUAAGCGCCGGUAAGGUGAUAUGAACCGUUAUAACCGGCGAUACCCGAAUGGGGAAACCCAGUGUGAUUCGUCACACUAUCAUUAACUGAAUCCAUAGGUUAAUGAGGCGAACCGGGGGAACUGAAACAUCUAAGUACCCCGAGGAAAAGAAAUCAACCGAGAUUCCCCCAGUAGCGGCGAGCGAACGGGGAGGAGCCCAGAGCCUGAAUCAGCAUGUGUGUUAGUGGAAGCGUCUGGAAAGGCGCGCGAUACAGGGUGACAGCCCCGUACACAAAAGCGCAUGUGCUGUGAGCUCGAUGAGUAGGGCGGGACACGUGGUAUCCUGUCUGAAUAUGGGGGGACCAUCCUCCAAGGCUAAAUACUCCUGACUGACCGAUAGUGAACCAGUACCGUGAGGGAAAGGCGAAAAGAACCCCGGCGAGGGGAGUGAAAAAGAACCUGAAACCGUGUACGUACAAGCAGUGGGAGCCCCACCACUAAGCCAGUGGUGAACUCCACAUACGCAUCCUUUGCUGAGGAUACGGUUAACGGAGCGAAAGCGACGUUCAACCGCAAAAGAAGCAGAGGGGGCUUAGUGGUGGGGUGACUGCGUACCUUUUGUAUAAUGGGUCAGCGACUUAUAUUCUGUAGCAAGGUUAACCGUAUAGGGGAGCCGUAGGGAAACCGAGUCUUAACCGGGCGUUAAGUUGCAGGGUAUAGACCCGAAACCCGGUGAUCUAGCCAUGGGCAGGUUGAAGGUUGGGUAACACUAACUGGAGGACCGAACCGACUAAUGUUGAAAAAUUAGCGGAUGACCUGUGGCUGGGGGUGAAAGGCCAAUCAAACCGGGAGAUAGCUGGUUCUCCCCGAAAGCUAUUUAGGUAGCGCCUCGUGAAUUCAUCUCCGGGGGUAGAGCACUGUUUCGGCUAGGGGGCCAUCCCGGCUUACCAACCCGAUGCAAACUGCGAAUACCGGAGAAUGUUAUCACGGGAGACACACGGCGGGUGCUAACGUCCG